CCCUAUGGGGUGCAGCAGGCGGAUUAAUCAGUCAGUGGUGAAAUCCUACGGCUCCACUGUCGAACUGCCAUUGAUACUGUUAGUCUUGAGUAUUGUUGAGGUAGGCGGAAUGUGUCAUGUAGCGGUGAAAUGCUUAGAUAUGAUACAGAACACCAAUCGCGAAGGCAGCUUACCAAGCAAUAACUGACGCUCAUGCACGAAAGCGUGGGGAUCAAACA
rnacentral:rRNA from 1 species